rnacentral:rRNA from 1 species
GCAUAACGCGAAGAACCUUACCCACCUUUGACAUGUACGGAAUCCUUUAGAGAUAGGGGAGUGCUCGAAAGAGAGCCGUAACACAGGUGCUACAUGGCUGUCGUCAGCUCGUGUCGUGAGAUGUUGGGUUAAGUCCCGCAACGAGCGCAACCCUUGCCAUUAGUUGCUACGAAAGGGCACUCUAAUGGGACUGCCGGUGACAAACCGGAGGAAGGUGGGGAUGACGUCAAGUCCUCAUGGCCCUUAUAGGUGGGGCUACACACGUCAUACAAUGGCUGGUACAGAGGGUUGCCAACCCGCGAGGGGGAGCUAAUCCCAUAAAGCCAGUCGUAGUCCGGAUCGCAGUCUGCAACUCGACUGCGUGAAGUCGGAAUCGCUAGUAAUCGCGGAUCAGAAUGUCGCGGUGAAUACGUUCCCGGGUCUUGUACACACCG